rnacentral:rRNA from 1 species
UACAGAGGAUGCAAGCGUUAUCCGGAAUGAUUGGGCGUAAAGCGCACGUAGGCGGACUCUUAAGUCGGUGGUGAAAUCCUGGAGCUCAACUCCAGAACUGCCUUCGAUACUGGGAGUCUCGAGUCCGGGAGAGGUGAGUGGAACUGCGAGUGUAGAGGUGAAAUUCGUAGAUAUUCGCAAGAACACCAGUGGCGAAGGCGGCUCACUGGCCCGGUACUGACGCUGAGGUGCGAAAGCGUGAGGAGCAAACAGG